AAAUUGCAUUUUGAGAAUUACCCUGAGUAAGAAAUUCAUGUUUGUCACUGCAUCAGGAUGUAGGGAAGGAAUGGCACAUACUCAACUAAUAUUUUUCAAAAAAAAAAGAGAAAAACAGGGAAAGGAGGGGAGAAUGAAAGUAUGUGUUUGUGUGGGCUGGUUUGUGGCUCUGCAAACUAACAAACAAUAUCUAUUUUUAAUGUGGUUAGGAAUUACCUGAAACGUGGAAGAAUCUUAAAAAGAUUGACUUCACUGUAAAGCAGAGAAGUAGUACCUCUACAGUCCAGAGAAGUGCUGGUUAUCAGAAGGAAGCAUGUUCUUUUGGAGAAGAAAAUCAUUGGAAUUGCAACAGCAUGUGAGAAUAAAAUACAAAAUCAGUCAACACAACUGAUUUGAUGGAUAUUGAGACUGUGCUGAGGAUGUUGAAAUCUUCAAGAAUCUAGAAGAAUGGUUGGAAAUCAACUGAAAGUCUGCAACCACAAGUAGGCACGUGAACCUGUUGUGGCCAAAAUGCAUCAAAAUAGUAAUUUUAAACAAAGACGUAAGUCUUAUGAAAUUGCUCAGCUGAAUGCCCUUAUAAACAUGCUGUUAGGGGAACUCACCCCUGGUGAUCAUCAGAACAUCAUGACAAUGGGCACAAUUGAUGUACAUACGAGGGAUGUUGUAGCCAUGCUUAUA